rnacentral:rRNA from 1 species
UACGAAGGGGGCUAGCGUUGUUCGGAAUCACUGGGCGUAAAGCGCACGUAGGCGGACUUUCAAGUCAGGGGUGAAAUCCCGGAGCUCAACUUCGGAAUUGCCUUUGAUACUGUUGGUCUCGAGUCCGGAAGAGGUGGGUGGAAUUCCUAGUGUAGAGGUGAAAUGCGCAGAUAUCAGGAGGAACACCGGUGGCGAAGGCGGGUCUCUGGGCGAGUAACUGACGCUGAGGCGCGAAAGCUAGGGUAGCAAACGGG